rnacentral:rRNA from 1 species
UGAAUACGAGACGCUAAGGCGUCGAAGUAGUGUAUGUCAUACUUCCAAGAAAAGCUUGCACUGUCAUAGAUAAAAAACGCCUGUACCAUAACCGACACAGGUGGGUAGGUAGAGUAUACUAAGGGGCGCGAGAUAACUCUCUCUAAGGAACUCGGCAAAAUAACUCCGUAACUUCGGGAGAAGGAGUGCCUUAUUCGUAAGGUUGCAAUAACAAGAUCCAAGCAACUGUUUAUCAAAAACACAGGUCUCCGCUAAGUCGUAAGACGAUGUAUGGGGGCUGACGCCUGCCCAGUGCCAGAAGGUUAAAGAAGUUGGUUAGCAAUUGCGAAGCUGAUAACUGAAGCCCUGGUGAACGGCGGCCGUAACAAUAACGGUCCUAAGGUAGCGAAAUUCCUUGUCGGGUAAGUUCCGACCCGCACGAAAGGCGUAAUGAUUUGGAUACUGUCUCGGAGAGGGGCUCGGUGAAAUAGACUUGUCUGUGAAGAUGCGGACUACCUGCACCAGGACAGAAAGACCCUAUGAAGCUUUACUGUAACUUGAAAUUGAAAUUGGACUUUAUUCGCGCAGUAUAGGUGGGAGGCGUUGAUUAUAAUCUUGUGGGAUUAUUGGAGCCAUCAGUGAGAUACCACUCUUGUAAUGUUAGAUUUCUAACUUUGAAUCAUUAUCUGGUCAAAGAACAGUUUCAGGCGGGCAGUUUGACUGGGGCGGUCGCCUCCUAAACGGUAACGGAGGCGUACAAAGGUUUCCUCUGAACGGUUAGAAAUCGUAUCUAGAGUGUAAAGGCAUAAGGAAGCUUGACUGUGAGACCUACAAGUCGAGCAGGGACAAAAGUCGGUCUUAGUGAUCUGACGGUACUGAGUGGAAAGGCCGUCACUCAACGGAUAAAAGUUACUCUAAGGAUAACAGGCUGAUCUCCCCCAAGAGUUCACAUCGACGGGGAGGUUUGGCACCUCGAUGUCGGCUCAUCGCAUCCUGGGGCGGUAGUACGUCCCAAGGGUUGGGCUGUUCGCCCAUGAAAGCGGUACGCGAGCUGGGUUCAGAACGUCGUGAGACAGUUCGGUCCAUAUCCGGUGUAGGCGUUAGAAUAUCGAGAGGAGCCUUCUUUAGUACGAGAGGACCGAGAAGGACAUACCUCUGGUGUACCAGUUAUCGUGCCAACGGUAAACGCUGGGUAGCUAUGUAUGGAGUGGAUAACCGCUGAAAGCAUCUAAGUGGGAAGCCCACCUCAAGAUAAGUAUUCGC